GUGCUCGCUUCGGCAGCACAUAUACUAAAAUUGGAACGAUACAGAGAAGACUAGCAUGGCCCCUGCGCAAAUAAAAUUUUUAAAAGCAUCAGAUUUGAUUUCAAUAU